rnacentral:rRNA from 1 species
UACGAAGGGGGCAAGCGUUGUUCGGAAUUACUGGGCGUAAAGGGCGCGUAGGCGGCCUGUUAAGUCGAACGUGAAAUCCCCGGGCUCAACCCGGGAACUGCGUCCGAUACUGGCAGGCUUGAAUCCGGGAGAGGGAUGCGGAAUUCCAGGUGUAGCGGUGAAAUGCGUAGAUAUCGAGAGGAACACCGGUGGCGAAGGCGGCCUUCUGGACAGUGACUGACGCUGAGACGCGAAAGCGUGGGGAGCAAACAGG